ACGUGCGUUUCGAAUUCAUUAAACUAGUUAGUAUCAUAACGGCCAAUCAUUCGCCAGCGAUAGCUUGGUAUGAAAGCAUGUUUCCAUGUCAGUAUUGUGGUCACCAAUGCUUAACAAAGUAUGCGUUUGUUAGGCAUAUCAAAGUACAUGCGAGUCUUCCAACCGCGUUGUUUAAAUGCGCCUUUUUUGAUUGCACCCGUUCGUUCAGAAACAUGACGCAGUUGGAAUGUCAUGUAUAUCGAGUGCAUAAAGAUAAGAGGAGAGCACAGGUAACUGCAAUCGAGUGUGUAUCUUGUCAUGUAGAAUUUUGCAAUGUUAGAUGCAAUGAUUUAUCCAGUUUAAACUCUCAUUUGAAAUCUCAUAUCGGAGAGGGCAGGGCAGUUUCUUGUCCAUUUCGUCAGUGUGGGAGAACAUUUUCAGUUGUCUCUUCCUUUAUUUCUAAUUUUUCCACAGUACACAAGUCUUGUACAGUAUCCAGUCUUCUGGGCCAUGUAACAGUAGGAACAGAGACGAGACUAACGGCAACCAAUGAACAAGUUGAGGAUGUUUCAGUGUUGGAGGGGGAUUUGACUGACGACGUAACGUAAGUGAUGAUAAUGAGGGAGACCAAGCAGCGGUGCUGCCAGAGAGAGCAGAUGAAUCCCUUUUCUUGAACAAUUUGGCUUUCUUUUAUUUAAAGUUGCAGGCAAAACUUUUACUGCCAGCAUCAGUCAUACAGUCUAUUAUUGAGGAUUUUCAAGCAGUGCAUGAUAUCAGUCAGUCUCAUUUACUUCAUAAGGUGGACGAAAAGCUGGUAUCAUUGGAUAUCUCUGACAGUGAGAGAGAGAAUGUCAUAGAGGUUCUUAAAUCCGAGGAUUUGUUUCGGGCAUGCAACACUGGUACCUUGAAAACUGAUCAAAGACAAAAAACAGUUUUUAAAAAUCAGUGUAGAUACAUUGAGCCAGUCCCACUUUAUCUUGGAAAGAAUGAUUCAGGGAAGGAAUGUUUUGCUCAAUACAUUCCGUUAAAAGAUACACUUCGAUCACUCUUUCGGUGUCAGUCGGUCAAGCAGCAAACGCAUAGCUACAAACAAGAGAUACAGUCUUUGUCUAGAUCAAGAGAUGUCUUGGAAGACAUCUGGGAUGGUAGCGAUGUGGCAGCAAAUGUAUUGUUUAAGAAGUAGGAGGAAUCUCUUGGUCUGGUACUGUACCAGGAUGCUUUUGAAGUGGUAAAUCCGCUACUUUGAUUUAAAUGGUAUAGUCUUACCUGAUGGACGUGUACCGAGGAACAUUGUGUGCCAUAGCUGGAGAUAAUCUGGGAUCACAGAGUGGCUUUAGUGAAAACUUCAGUAAAAGCACCCAUUUCUGCAGAUUAUGUACUAGAGCCCGACCGAUAUAUCGGUAUGGCCGUUAUAUCGGCCAUUAUUUGACUUUUUUGACCACAUCUGGAUCGGCAGUUAUGCCGCCGAUGUGCCCCGAUUUUUAAAUAAGUAUAAUAAACAAAAAAAAAACAAUGAUUAUUUAUCUGUACUUGUCUGUUCGAACGUUGUAAUUGCUAUUUACUAGAAUUAUCCAGUAGAGGGAGCUCUAAUACAAGUGUGAACUGCAGCAGCUGACUCGCUACUUCUUUAAUAAGACGUUUGUUACUCGUGCCUUAUCCAAUAUUCUCCACUGCAAGACUUGUCUGCACAGAUUCGGUUGCGGCAAUAAAGGUGAAAAGAAAACAAUUGCAUCAUACAAAGACAGCGUGCAGCACAGCAUGCAGCAUAACAAUGUCUGAUAUAAGUGAGAGCAUCAAGGACGCAGUCAUUUCUGUCCUGCCAAGUGUGCCAGAAGAGACGCUCACUCUGUUGGUUGAAACGAUCUUACACCAGGGAGUGGAAAGCAAAGAUGACUUG